AUGCCAUGAUUAGGGCAUUUUCAUAAUAACUCCUUAAAUCACUCCCAUGCCUUAUAUAAAGAUUCUUCGUCAAGUUGCUGAUAUGAAAUGAUUAAUUAUGAUCUU
rfam:Gossypium hirsutum cultivar TM-1 chromosome 22, whole genome shotgun sequence